GGACAACCUGCCCUUAGGACGGGGAUAAACCCGGGAAACUGGGUAUAAUACCCGAUAGGUCUCGAUUGCUGGAAUGCAUCGAGAUUUAAAGCUCCGGCGCCUAAGGAUGGGUCUGCGGCCUAUCAGGUAGUAGUGGGUGUAGCGUACCUACUAGCCUACGACGGGUACGGGUUGUGAGAGCAAGAGCCCGGAGAUGGAUUCUGAGACACGAAUCCAGGCCCUACGGGGUGCAGCAGGCGCGAAAACUUUACAAUGCUGGCAACAGCGAUAAGGGAACCUCGAGUGCCAGGUUACAAAUCUGGCUGUCGAGAUGCCUAAAAAGCAUUUCAUAGCAAGGGCCGGGCAAGACCGGUGCCAGCCGCCGCGGUAACACCGGCGGCUCGAGUGGUAACCGUUAUUAUUGGGUCUAAAGGGUCUGUAGCCGGCCGGAUAAGUCUCUUGAGAAAUCUGGCAGCUUAACUGUC
rnacentral:rRNA from 1 species